UUGACGAUUGCGUGACGCUCAGACGACACCGACAUCUAGGGUCCACGGGGCCUCUGGCGGGCGCUCGGCGGCCCGCCAAAGCAACGGUCGUAGCGAUGACAGCGGGUGGGAGAUCCGCCCGGGGGCGCGAACUCGGUAAUGAUCCCUCCGCAGGUUCACCUACGGAGA
rnacentral:misc_RNA from 1 species